UCAAACAAGAGGUAGGUUUCUAUCAAAAAAUAAAUAUUCAUUCAGUGGAGAGAGAGAGAGAGAGAGAGAGAGUAUAUCCAUAUCACCGAAAUAUCCACUCAGGCACUCAAUCUCAGCCUCACUAUGGGGAGGAAGAAAUGAGGGACACCAUGAGUGACUGGCUAAUACCGUACCGUAUAGCUGGUACCAUUAGUACUGGUACUGGUACCGGUACCUGCGCACCCCUAUUGCUGAGUAGCGUGGCAGCGUGGGUACUGUAUUGUUGUUCAAGUGGCACGCGGAAAGAACUGAGCUCAGCUGUGUGGUUGCGGUGCCGUGUGAGUCCAGUUGCGUGAGACAUCUAGUGGCUACUCCAUAAAAUAUCGCGUAUAAGUGAAAAAACGUGUAAAUUAAACAUUUAUUUGGAUUUUGGACCCCGCGUUAUUUCAAAAACGCGUAAACCAAACUCACAUAAAUCGAGAGUUACCUGUACCGGAGUUGUAUGGAAAGAAUCAUCCAUUAGUAAACGAUUUGCAUAGUAUGAUAUGCUUAAGCACAUGAAGUUAAAAAAGAAAAUGGCAGAGACUUUGUGAUGGGGUGAGCUGUGUGUGUCUGCACGAUCUGGUGAUGGAGACAGGAUUGGCGGCCAUGGGUGCAGGCAACUCCCUGAUGAUGCAGGGCCAUCAUAGUUAAGGUAAUGAGGGGAAGAGCAUCUUACCCAAGCUUCUGCGGAUGUGCCAAACAGUCCUCAUCACCCCAGGACGCAGCAUCCACCCUCACCUCCUGUGCCUCAAAGUCUGUCACCAUCCCCUUCCUGCUGCACAGUCUUUACCAUAUCGGAAGACUUCUUGCAGGACCUUUUUGUCAAAGUCAUCUCCCUAUAUAUUUUCUCACAUUUCUUUGUAACAUUUCUGCUUGUUGUUUAAGGAUUGCUCCCUCCUAAAUGGUGGGAGCGUGGGCCUUUGCCAAUUUAUGGCGGCCCGUAACAGGGUGCUGAGACUGACUCUAUCGGCUGAUGUCAGCUAAGCCCACCAAGUCGGUCUGCCGACGAGGACUGGCAUACCUCUGCUUUUCCAUUUGUAGGUAGGAAUUUAGUUGGUGUUUGUAGCCAUACAAAAAUAAUUAGAUGGAUGGAUAUAAGAAAAGUACAAUGUAGCCAUAUAAGAGUUUGUUUAGAAAGCAGUGUGUUGGUGAGUUUGGUAGAAGCAAGUUAAUUGGGAGAAUCAUGAUGGUAGAAGUGUAAGCACAGAGGUUAAGAAAAGAUUCAGCAAUUUACUUGAGCCCUUUAGAAUCUUUAGGCCACAAGGACUUAUGUUAAGUGAGAAAAACUUGUUGAAAUUAAGCUUCUCUAUAUCUUCGUUAGUUGUGUGAUCAUUCAUAAUGCCUCUGUGGGAUGGAGGACCUCACAGAAAUUGUUACUGGCAGACUCAAACUGUAAUGCAUGGGUUACCAGUUUACCUUCUGGUUUCCCUAGCUAUUCAUUUAUCGACCAUUCUGAAAAGGAGGAAGAAUGGCUGGGUGGGCUGCAUGUCAACUGCCUAGGCUGGGAUUCAAACCCAAGCCCACAGGUUUGUAGUUACUCUAUUUGAAAUUAGGUUUAUCUCUUCAUCCUAUGAGUUAGUUAUGGAAUAAUUCCCAAUUCCUCUGAUCUGAGGGUAGAUGUAAUCAAAAUACAUAGUAUUUCCUUUUGUUUUAUAUAAACUGUACAUUUCAGGAUGCAGUGAUGGAUGGCCGUGAAGACAAGGAACACAGGGGGUGAUGCCAACACAUGAUGCCACCAAUCCCAGGGCCAUGGAUGAGGUGCUGGUGUCAUUAUAUUCCAGGUGUGUAUGGUGGUCGUCUUCAGGUAUUAGGUAGAGAAUGUGUUGUGGCAUAGGUUAUAGUUUUUUAUUCCUAAUAUCUCGGUAAGCCACACUCUCCUCAGUGUUAGCAAAUAUCUGGCUCAGCUGUAUCUUACCAAAUGGUAAGAGCUGAUUAGAUCUUUUAAUAUCUGUGCAAUUCUAAUACUUGUUAGUCUGCAUUUAUUUUACAUGUCUACUCAUGACUUUUUUUUUAUAUGGAAACUGAUUUCCAUUUUUUUAUAUGGAAACUGAUUUCCAAAAGGUAAAGAAAAGCUGUGUGAUAAUUAGAGCAAGAGGAAGGAGAAUAGUUGAAAACUGUAUACCAAGUUUCAUUAUAACUGAAUUUAACACAACUAUCAAAUCAAGUCAAGAGUUAAGUAAGGAUUCUCAGACAAAGCUACCUUCAUUACUGUGUUCUCAAAUUUUAUGCAAAGUAUAGCAAAGCUGAGGUAAAGAUUUCAUAUGAAGAGAUUUGAGGUCAUGGACUUGAAUAUUCGUUUGUGUGAUGUGUCCUACUGUGUCUGUGUACUGCUGUCGCCCUCCCUCCCAUCAAGUGGAGGGGGGGGCUUAGGACCUAAAUUGCGCCCUUUCUAAGAUUCACUGAGAUCUGGGGGGGUAUCAUUCCUAGGCGCCAUACCAUACCAUACCAUAUAUAUAUAUAUAUAUAUAUAUAUAUAUAUAUAUAUAUAUAUAUAUAUAUAUAUAUAUAUAUAUAUAUAUAUAUAUAUAUAUAUAUAUAUUAGGCCAUUAUAUGGUCAGUUUUUAUUUAUACACAUAUUUCAUGGAGAACAUUGUAAUAACCUUUCUUGCAUCAAUGUGGUACAAACAACAAAGAUAUGUUGAUUUCAGCAAGAGAACUAAAUAUUUCACCAUGAAAGUGUUUUUACUUAAGGAUAUUUCUUGAGCAGUCUGCCAUAGUUACUGCAAAGUCACAUUGUCUAUUUGAUGAGGAAAAACUUGACACCUUGUAUUUGGGGUCGCUGUUUUGAGAUUGUAGCUCAGGAUUUAAGACUGUAUGCCUUUUCAGGGGUCAUGCGGCAGCACUGGGGUUCAAACUGCCUGGCUCUGGCUCUUCACUUCCUGGGUUUUACACACUAACCCACUAGACCACCUCAGCCAGCAAAUCUAGUGAUUUAUUCAUAUAAUUUGACGCAAUCAACUUAUCUGCUCUGUUUCCACCACCUUCAUCCUAAUUGGGUUAGUUUAGUUAUAACUCAUCCCAAUAAAACAUUCAUAUGAAUGUCAAGUAACCACAGAAUCACCUAGUAAGCUACGGAAAUGUUUUACAUUUUUCCUAUUGGUCAUCUAUUACAUUCGUCUGUCAUCAGGCUAUUACACUAGGAACCUAAAAGUAUUAGCUACCUCAGCUCUGCCAUACACUGUAACCAUUGAACAUUGCAAGAGGGAGAGGUUGAUGGUGACUGAUGGGAGGCAGGGGAGACAACGGUACACAGACAAGAGAAGAGAUGGUAGGGCAUUUUGAUACCUAUUAGCACCAUAAUUUUAAAUUUUUUAACUUCAAGGGGCAGAUGGGUGAUAGCUAUUAUUACAUGUCAAUUUGUAAAGGGAAUUUGACAUUGAUUGACAUAGCAAUGUAAAAUAAUAUGAAAGACAUGUCCAAUAACAUGAUUUGUUUAUAUUUGGGCAUAAUGAAGCUAUGGCAGUCAAUGUCAAAUUCUCUGCACAUUGGCAUUGAAAAAUAGCUAUCACCCCUCUGCCCCUUGAAAUUGAGAAAAUUAAAAUUGUGAAGUUAAUAAGCAUCAAAAUACCCAGCUACAAAUAGGCCCGUUGACUAUGUAGUGUCUCAGAUUCCAGAGAUAACUGUUGCAUUAUAUGUUGUCAGAUAAGGGUACAUGGCUUACUGAAAUAUUAAAAAUGAGUAGACUAUACAUAUCCUAAAACCAGCAUGAUUACAAGCAUACGUUGAUUAACUGUAGAUGUGACUCCUUAAACAAGUUCACAGAACUCGUCCAACUGGUGUCUUGUUUCAGAAGGAAGAAUGGAGACAAGGAAGCUGCUGCCCUAUCUGCAGGAGCCCUGGUGUGGUGUGGUGAGCUGUCCCCCCUUAUCUGCGCAUGUGCAAGUUUUGUUUACAAACAUAAUUCCUUCACUGCAAUAAGUCAUUUGAUAGCUUAUAAUGAGCUUACCUAUUAUCUUAUGAUUUUCCUUGUCUCCCGAGAGUUCAAGGGUGAAAUGGGCUCUAGAUGUUGCCCAUUAAUUGGCAUGUAUCCAUUGAACCUGAUGGAGAAUCGGAAGGGAACUCUCAGGAGACGGCAGGAAAAUCAUAUAAAACAGGCAAGCCUAUUAUAACCAUUAAAGAACUUAAUGCAGUGAGAGAAAUGUUUAUAAAUAAGACCAAGACAGCUCACACAUGUGCAGAUCAGGGGGAACAGUUCAAGAUAGGCAGACAGCUCAUUACACCACACCAGAGCCUGGGGACUUCCUGGGCCCAUACUUCUAAAGCUAACACCUCGCGGUGCGAGUAGCUAAAGUUGGUCCCGGGCAGGCAUAAAUCCUGGGUCUCGUCUGAUGUUUGACAUUCAAAUGUAAACAUUGCCGGGUAUUGCUAGUCAGCCAGCGUGCCUCAUCAAAAUCAUUUUACAUUCAAAUGCUCACUAUAGCCUUACAAAACCCUAUUAUAACAGAUAUGAUGUACUUCUAUUCAAUACUUUCACCAUUUUAAGGUAUUCUUACCCAUUAAUUUUCAUAUGAGAUAACUGAUCUCACCAUUGUUGGCAACUUUACGUUCCCCAUUACCCGUGGCGGCUGGAGCCCUAGCUAUGGUGCACACUCGCCUCUGAGACAAGACAUAAGUCAAACGGCUUAUGUCUUUAUAAGUAUGGGCCCUGGGGCAUAAUUGCAGGGGUGCAAUGCAAAUGCUUAUGAAUUCAUGGCAUACAUUCACUAGAUAAAUAAAGAUCCUGCUCUACUCC